CCUCCGGGAGGCAGCAGUGGGGAAUAUUGCACAAUGGGGGAAACCCUGAUGCAGCGCCGCCGCUUGGGCGAGGAAGUACCUCGGUAUGUAAAGCCCUAUCAGCAGGGACGAAACAGGACAGUACCUGACUACGAAGCCCCGGCUAACUACGUGCCAGCAGCCGCGGUAAUACGGAGGGGGAAAGCGUUAUCCGGAUUCACUGGGCGGAAAGGGAGCGAAGGCGGCAUGGCAAGUCUGAGGAUAAAACACGGGGCCCAACCCCGGGAGUGCAUUGGAAACUGCCAGGCUGGAGUGUCGGAGGGGUAAGCGGAAUUCCUAGUGUAGCGGUGAAAUGCGUAGAUAUUAGGAGGAACACCAGUGGCGAAGGCGGCUUACUGGACGACUACUGACGCUGAGGCUCGAAAGCGUGGGGAGCAAACAGGAUUAGAUACCCUUGUAGUC
rnacentral:rRNA from 1 species